GGGGAUUUAGCUCAGUGGCAUAAGCACCUGCCUUGCAAGCAGGCAGUCCUGAGUUCCAUCCCCAGUACCUA
rfam:Cavia porcellus supercont2_1 genomic scaffold, whole genome shotgun sequence.